rnacentral:misc_RNA from 1 species
CGAAAGCGUUUUUACAGCGCAAAACCCACUGUGAACGUACCUGUUUGUUGCUUCGGCAGGCGGCCCCAGGGCGGGGCCAGCAGCCUGUGUUUUUCAGGCGCUUGCCGGAAGCCACUUUAAACUCUUUUGUCUACGUACUGUCUGAGCUUAAAACAAAAUACGUUA